rnacentral:rRNA from 1 species
UACGAAGGGAGCGAGCGUUGUUCGGAAUUACUGGGCGUAAAGGGCGCGUAGGCGGCCUGUUAAGUCGAACGUGAAAUCCCCGGGCUCAACCCGGGAACUGCGUCCGAUACUGGCAGGCUUGAAUCCGGGAGAGGGAUGCGGAAUUCCAGGUGUAGCGGUGAAAUGCGUAGAUAUCUGGAGGAACACCGGUGGCGAAGGCGGCAUCCUGGACCGGCAUUGACGCUGAGGCGCGAAAGCCAGGGGAGCAAAGCGGG